AUGUUUCAAUUGAAGCUUGUGCACAACAAGAGGGCUCAGAACGACAAGUGGUUCGCAGAAUACCUACCACGCAUUGGUAAUGGUACCGAGGAGACUAAUGAUGAUGGUGAAAUACUCCUACCUGCAAGGAUAUGCGUGCCAAAUAAGACGGAUAAUAAUGGCCUAGAUAGACUCAUUGACAAUAUCUAUGAAACAGGGAAAGCUUCCCCAAAAAGAUCCAAAACACAUCACGUUAAGAGCAAUUUUGUCCACAAGGAAUGA
rnacentral:rRNA from 1 species